ensembl:lncRNA
UGGAAGGAUACUAUAUGCCCUUAAGUAAAGGAGAAUGAUCUGUCUGCAAGAAAUGUUCCAUUUUCUCCAGCUGGCAACAACAGCAAUGAAGAUACAGCUGUAAUUCAGGAGAGAGAAUUUUUGGACAGGAGUGCUAUUCUUCAGUUGCCUAUGAAGGUGUCCUUCUUCAUUAUACCAUUCUUUGGACUGGAGGUUUCUGGUUGGCCCUUCACUCUGCUCAAGCUUCUGUUCUGAUUCUCACUCUGACCUCUGCAGUGGGUGUUCAGACACUUAUUCCCAGUUUGGACUUCUCAAAUCAGAUACUGAAUCCAGAUCCAUGUUUCUCCCAUGAGGCACCUUGAAAAUUAGGUAGAUGAGAAGACCUCUUGAGAGUACUCAACUCAUCUGUUUUGAGAUGUUUCUGCAAAAUAUGAAUCCAACUAUAUGUAAGACCUUCAAAGAAAUCAGUGCUGUUUUCUGUCAUGGUGGCUAAAGGAUAACUUCUUUUCUGUUGAAUUUUUGAACAAAGACAUACUUUUGUCUCUGCCAUAAGAAGAAGAGUCUGGAUCACAGAUCCCACCUCAGAAGCUCCCAGCAAUUGUGACUAUAGAGUCAGGGAUUCUUCACUGGUUUUGGUUAUGGGGCCGUUCUUACCCUGAGAUGUGGAAGUUCGAAAGAAAUUAAGGGCUGUGGUAUAACCACAAUGGAUAGUGCUCCUCAGGAUAAUCUGAUUUACAUCUCUUUGGUGUUUAUGCCUGCUAAGAACAGGACAACAUGGCCUGCACACAGCAAAGAAGCACAGCUACUGCAUGCUCAACUCUGCUUUUGGCAGCUACAGCCAGUUCCAAGGAGUUGUUGGGAGAUUCCUGUGUCUGCUCCAAAGGUAUUGCUUGUGGUUUUAUUAUUAUGUCAGAGUUUUGGAAAAGGUG